rnacentral:rRNA from 1 species
GGCCUUUAGAAUUUAAUUUAAGGUCUGACCUGCCCAGUGAUGAAUUUAACGGCCGCGGUAUAUUGACCGUGCAAAGGUAGCAUAAUCAUUAGUCUUUUAAUAGAGGGCUGGAAUGAAUGGUUUAACGAGGAAUUGACUGUCUCAUUUUAUUUGUUUUAAAACUUAAUUUUUUAGUUAAAAAGCUAAAAUAUUAUUGGAAGACGAGAAGACCCUAUAGAUCUUUAUAUAAUUUUUUGUAUUUAUUUAUAUAUUAACAUAAUUGUAGAAAGGUUAUAUUUUGUUGGGGUGACAAAAAUAUAUAAUUAACUUUUUCAUUUAUUUACCAUUGAUAUAUGAAUUUUAGAUCCAUUUUUAGUGAUUGAUAGAUUAAGUUACCUUAGGGAUAACAGCGUAAUCCUCCUCCAGAGCUCAUAUUUACAGGAGGGCUUGCGACCUCGAUGUUGGAUUAAGAUAAUAAUUAGGUGUAGCCGCUUAAUUUAUAGGUCUGUUCGACCUUUAAAUUCUU